CUAAAUCGACAAAAAAGUUUUUUGAAAGUAAUUUUCAAAGAAAGAUUUAUGGAAAUCAUUUGAAAACUCUCACAUAGCAUAGAUACACAACAGAUCUAAAAAGAAUCGAAGAAAAACCUCGAAUAGCUAGGGUUUCAGAGGAACCCUAGGGUGAGAAAGGCUUUGGGAAAGGUCCGAUCGUCGGAUAAGGUUAGAAUCAGGCUCAGGAGGCUAGGAUAUGAUGGAGCAAAGCCUGGAGAUGGCCAGAAACCUUCAGGCAUCAUGCACACAGGAGUAAUAUGAGGUGAGUAUAUGUCAUCUAUGGCCUGAGAAGCCACAGAUUCUGGUGGGGUGUUGGUCGGAGAGGCGGUGGAGUUCAUCCAAGAAGAGAGAUCUAGAAGGUGCUAGAGAGAGUGGAGAGGGAAAGAUGAUUUAGAGAGAGAG
rnacentral:lncRNA from 1 species